AUGUCCUCUGUAUCUCUGAUACUUCUACUGACAGCUGGAUCCUAUGUGUACUGCAUUGAUCUCAUCCAACCAGACUCCAAGGUUGUGCAGCCUGGACAGUCUCUGACUAUCACCUGUCAGCCCUCUGGUUACUCUGUGACCGAUAACAGCUAUGCAACAGGUUGGAUCAGACACCAGGAAGGAAAAGCAAUGGAAUGGAUCUUUCACAUGUGGGGUGAUGGGGACUUUUACCAAAAUAAUGAUCUGAAGAACAAGUUCAGCCACAGCAGAGACACUUUUGCUGGAACAGUCACAAUAACAGGACAGAAUCUGCAGCCUGAAGACACAGCUCUUUAUUACUGUGUGAGGCGGCACAAAAAAGCCAAGCUGAACUUCUACCUGCUUAUGAUGAACACAGUCCGGGUGGUGUUCAUCAAAGCUCUGGCCUUCAGUACUGUCCUCACCAUCAGAGGCCUGCUCUUCUGA